rnacentral:lncRNA from 1 species
AUCGAUGAGUUUAAUACCUAUAGAAGUUCUUACUUCAACUGUACAUUUGCCUUUUACUUCAAGAAGUUCUCCAUUACCAAUUCUCAUAGUGGUUUUGAAGCUUUUAUCAAAAUCUUUAAGGACUACUGCAUUAAAUGUCAUAUGGCUUGUACAUCCGUUGUCAAUGAGCCAGGUGUUGUCGAUAUUUAUGCUGCGAAAACAUGAGGCAGCAAAGAAUUUCUCCUCCUGGGUUUCUGACUCAAUUACUUGUACUUGUAGACUAUUUUGAGGACCUUUGACCUUAGUUUUGCAUAUUUUAGUGACGUGUCCAAGCUAUUUGCAAUUGUCACAUAUUGCAUCGGGCCUCCACCAACAAUAUUUCUCUAUAUGAGUGGUCUUUUUACAGUGCUUGCAGGGAG